UCAAUCAGCAUCCAGCUUACCUUUGCGAUCUGUACCAGGUCCUGCAUUAGUCUGGUAACCUCUGAGACGGUGUGUCUGAAGUGCUCUUGCCCAAAUAUCUAGAUAGUUAUGACCAGAAUGUUUUUUGGCUUCAAUUGUUAGAUAUUUUUAUUCCUGAACUCAGUGAUCAAGACCAUCUAGUUUAGGGUUUUUUUUAGUGAGUCUGUGCUCUUGGACUGUGAACUUCAGGAGUGCUUCUUAAUCUCUUCUCCCCACACUUCCUCCCACUCCCUUUUAGGUGGAAUAAGAUGGCUAAAGUGGGCUGGAGUUGCGUACUUCUCUUCCUUUACUUGGAAGGCUUGGGCCCACUGGAGUGAUUUUUCUUCUCUCAGGUUAGUUGGUCCCUGAUAAAACCCCAGCAGGUUAGGCUCUCGUAAAAGUGUUAUUUCUGAAGGCAGUCCUUGUUGUUAAGAA
rnacentral:lncRNA from 1 species